rnacentral:rRNA from 1 species
AUGAACGCUGGCGGCGUGCUUAACCCAUGCAAGUCGCACGGAAAGGCCCAAGCUUGCUUGGGUACUCGAGUGGCGAACGGGUGAGUAACACGUGGGUGAUCUGCCCUGCACUUCGGGAUAAGCCUGGGAAACUGGGUCUAAUACCGGAUAGGACCACAUUUUGGAUGGUGUGGUGGAAAGUUUUUCGGUGUGGGAUGAGCUCGCGGCCUAUCAGCUUGUUGGUGGGGUAAUGGCCUACCAAGGCGUCGACGGGUAGCCGGCCUGAGAGGGUGUACGGCCACAUUGGGACUGAGAUACGGCCCAGACUCCUACGGGAGGCAGCAGUGGGGAAUAUUGCACAAUGGGCGCAAGCCUGAUGCAGCGACGCCGCGUGGGGGAUGACGGCCUUCGGGUUGUAAACUCCUUUCGCUAGGGACGAAGCGUUUUUGUGACGGUACCUGGAGAAGAAGCACCGGCUAACUACGUG